UACGAAGGGGGCUAGCGUUGCUCGGAAUUACUGGGCGUAAAGCGCACGUAGGCGGUCUUUUAAGUCGGGGGUGAAAUCCCGGAGCUCAACUCCAGAACUGCCUUCGAUACUGGAAGACUUGAGUCCGGGAGAGGUGAGUGGAACUGCGAGUGUAGAGGUGAAAUGCGCAGAUAUCAGGAGGAACACCAAUGGCGAAGGCAGCUCGCUGGGACGGUACUGACGCUGAGGCGCGAAAGCGUGGGUAGCAAACAGG
rnacentral:rRNA from 1 species